AAUUCUUCUUUGUUGUUGUCGCACAAGCCAUGAAGAGAGCUUUCGUUUCUUCUUCCAUGGCAUCAGCCAUGGCAAUCCUAGUUAUCUUAUUCAUAUGCUACUCCCUGCCAUGCUCAGCCGCCGACCAAGCUCAUGCGGAAGGAAACCAUCGUGGAGGGAGUCCUCCGGCGCCGCGCGCAGCGCCGGGCACACAUAAUCGAGGCCGUGGACACUCCAGCACCGCACCGCCAGUGCCGCACCGCAAGAACUUACAGCUACAACAGGCUGUUUUCAAGUGGCACCGAUGCCAUAAAUUAUCUUGCACAAGUCUUGCAAACUUCGUCACUUUUAAUUUUUGCCAGUGCUCUGUGGUGCCAGUGCCACUGAUAUGUUCCUAGAGUCCAGAAAUAAGUAUGGUAGUUAUGGCUGUACCCUUUUCUACAAUUAUGAACUUUCAUUAAAAAUUAUAUUUAUA